rnacentral:miRNA from 1 species
GCAGGGUGCGGCGCAGCUGUCGGGAAGGCGGGUCCCGCCGCCGGCCCGCCCCUCCCGCCGCCGGCCCGCCCCUC